GGGGUAAGCUUGGGCGGCGGUGGAUGGGGGUGCUAUCAUGCAAGUCGAACGCUUUGUGGUUAACUGAUUUGAAGAGCUUGCUCAGAUAUGACGAUGGACAUUGCAAAGAGUGGCGAACGGGUGAGUAACACGUGGGAAACCUACCUCUUAGCAGGGGAUAACAUUUGGAAACAGAUGCUAAUACCGUUAUAACAAUAGCAACCGCAUGGUUGCUACUUAAAAGAUGGUUCUGCUAUCACUAAGAGAUGGUCCCGCGGUGCAUUAGUUAGUUGGUGAGGUAAUGGCUCACCAAGACGAUGAUGCAUAGCCGAGUUGAGAGACUGAUCGGCCACAAUGGGACUGAGACACGGCCCAUACUCCUACGGGAGGCAGCAGUAGGGAAUCUUCCACAAUGGGCGAAAGCCUGAUGGAGCAACGCCGCGUGUGUGAUGAAGGGUUUCGGCUCGUAAAACACUGUUGUAAGAGAAGAAUGACAUUGAGAGUAACUGUUCAAUGUGUGACGGUAUCUUACCAGAAAGGAACGGCUAAAUACGUGCCAGCAGCCGCGGUAAUACGUAUGUUCCAAGCGUUUUCCGGAUUUUUUGGGCGUAAAGCGAGCGCAGACGGUUAUUUAAGUUUGAAGGGAAAGCCCCCCGCCCCACCGAGGGAAGGGCCU
rnacentral:rRNA from 1 species